rnacentral:rRNA from 1 species
GGGGCGCAUGUUUUUUAUUUAGAAACAACGAGCAGCACCUCACCAUCGUUUGACCUCCCGAGCUUUCACCAGAGAUGGUGAGUUCCUUUGGGGGACGCGGUGACAGGUGCUGCAUGGUUGUCGUCAGCUUGUGUCAAAGAUGUUGGGUUAAGUCCCGCAACGAGAGCAACCCUCGUCUUUAGUUGCCAUCAUUAAGUGGGGCAUUAAAGGGAAACGCCCGUUGAUAAGCGGGGGAAGGUGGGGGAUGAGUCAAGUUCUUCUGGGCCUUUACACUAGGGGUACCCCACUGGUACAAAGGGCGGUGACAAGGGGCAGGGACCUGGGGGGGCGAAGGUACUCUCCAAAAGCCGUCUCAGUUCGGAUUGUUGUCUGCAACUCGAGAGCAUGAAG